rnacentral:sRNA from 1 species
AGCCUUAGGAGUAUUUGAAAGCUUGUGCUGUGAAAAAUAGGAAUCUUACAGGAGAAUCAUAUGGGGCCUGGAGAGGAACCUGUUUGGGACAGGCCGAUUCCCAUCUCCUGCCGCUCUGUACCUCCUGGGCACCGUGGCCUGCCUUCUCCUCCCUUCUGGUGAAAUGCUACCACAAGAAAUACCGCUCGGCCACCCGUGACGUCAUUUUCCGCCUGCAGUUUCACACUGGGGCUGUGCAGGGCUACGGGCUGGUGUUUGGGAAGGAGGAUCUGGACAAUGCCAGCAAAGAUGACCGUUUUCCUGACUAUGGGAAGGUUGAAUUAGUCUUCUCUGCCACCCCUGAGAAGAUUCAAGGGUCCGAACACUUGUACAACGACCACGGUGUGAUUGUGGACUACAACACAACAGACCCACUGAUACGCUGGGACUCGUACGAGAACCUCAGUGCAGAUGGAGAAGUGCUACACACGCAGGGCCCUGUCGAUGGCAGCCUUUACGCGAAGGUGAGGAAGAAAAGCUCCUCGGAUCCUGGCAUCCCAGGUGGCCCCCAGGCAAUCCCGGCCACCAACAGCCCAGACCACAGU